CGGCCGCGUCGACGUUGUAAGAGAAGAACGAGUGUGAGAGUGGAAAGUUCACACUGUGACGGUAUCUUACCAGAAAGGGACGGCUAACUACGUGCCAGCAGCCGCGGUAAUACGUAGGUCCCGAGCGUUGUCCGGAUUUAUUGGGCGUAAAGCGAGCGCAGGCGGUUAGAUAAGUCUGAAGUUAAAGGCUGUGGCUUAACCAUAGUACGCUUUGGAAACUGUUUAACUUGAGUGCAAGAGGGAGAGUGGAAUUCCAUGUGUAGCGGUGAAAUAGCGUAGAUAUAUGGAGGAACAACCGGUGGCGAAAGCGGCUCUCUGGCUUGUAACUGACGCUGAGGCUCGAAAGCGUGGGAGGCAAACAGGAUUAGAUACCCUGGUAGUCCACGCCGUAAACGAUGAGUGCUAGGUGUUGGAGGUUUCCGCCUCUCAGUGCUGCAGCUAACGCAUUAAGCACUCCGCCUGGGGAGUACGACCGCAAGGUUGAAACUCAAAGGAAUUGACGGGGCCGCAAGUCGUGGAGG
rnacentral:rRNA from 1 species